rnacentral:rRNA from 1 species
UGCGGUUAUACAAAAAUUAAAAUAAAUUUUUUUAGUUAUUAAUAAAUUUAUUUUUAAUAAAAUAAUUUAAAUUUUAAUUUAUUAAGUGAAAUUUUAAUUUAAUUAAAAAUUAUUUUUAUGAAAUUAAUAAAUUUUAAUUAUAAACUAGGAUUAGAUACCCUAUUAUUGAAAAAUUAAAUUAUAAUACUAAAAUAUUAAAUUUUUUUAUUGAAACUUAAAUAAUUUGGCGGUAUUUUAGUUCAUUUAGAGGAAUCUGUCUAAUAAUUGAUAAUCCACGAAUAAAUUUACUUAAUUUAUUAUUUUGUAUAUCGUUGUUAAAAAAAUAUUUUUAAAUAAUGAAUAAUAUUUUAAAAUUUAAAUAUAAAAUUAAAUCAAAUCAAGAUGCAGAUUAUAAUUAAGAAUAUGAUGGAUUACAAUAAAUUUAUUUAAGAGGAAAUUGAUAUGUAAUAUUAAUUGAAAAUGGAUUUAAAUGUAAUUUUUUUUAGUUUAAAGAAAUGAUUUAUAAUUAAAAUAUGUACAUAUUGCCCGUCGCUUUCAUUUGAAAAUUGAAAUAAGUCGUAACAAAGUAGAGGUACUGGAAAGUGUUUCUAGAAAGAU